AGCCACGUGGUCAAGACAGAGUGAAUUAAUCUUUCACCUUUUACUAAAGAAUACAGUGUCUUGGCCACUCAAAGUGACAUACACCAAUUUUUAGAGGCUUUCUCUACUACUUAGAC